GACAGAGGCCCCGAGCGUUAGGCGGAAUCACUGGGCUUAAAGCGUGUGUAGGCGGAUCGUUAAGUGUCUUGUGAAAUCCCACGGCUCACCCGUGGAACUGCUGGGCAUACUGGCGAUCUUGGGCCAACUAGGGGCAGCCGGAACAAGCGGUGGAGCGGUGAAAUGCGUAGAUAUCGCUUGGAACGCCGACGGUGAAAACAGCUCGCUGGGGACUCGCUGACGCUGAGACACGAAAGCCAGGGAGCGAACGGG
rnacentral:rRNA from 1 species